GCCUGGCGCGAUGGUGCACGCCUGUAAUCCAGUGGCUUGGAGGCUGAAUCAGGAGUAUUGCUAGUUCAAAGCCAGCCUCAGCAGUUUAUCAAGGCUCUAAGAAACUUAGUGAGACCCUGUCUCUA
rnacentral:sRNA from 1 species